UACGAAGGGGGCUAGCGUUGUUCGGAAUGACUGGGCGUAAAGGGCGCGUAGGCGGUUUGAUAAGUUUGGUGUGAAAGUCCUGGGCUCAACCUGGGGAUUGCACUGGAUACUGUUAGACUAGAGAUCGAGAGAGGAAAAUGGAAUUGCGAGUGUAGAGGUGAAAUUCGUAGAUAUUCGCAAGAACACCGGUGGCGAAGGCGGUUUUCUGGCUCGAUACUGACGCUAAGGCGCGAAAGCGUGGGGAGCAAACAGG
rnacentral:rRNA from 1 species